rnacentral:rRNA from 1 species
UACGUAGGGGGCGAGCGUUGUCCGGAGUUACUGGGCGUAAAGCGCACGCAGGCGGUCUGCUAAGUUUGGAGUGACAGUUGGUGGCUUAACUGCCAAAGUGCUUCGAAAACUGACAGACUUGAGGGCUUCAGAGGGACUCGGAAUUCCGGGUGGAGUGGUGAAAUGCGUAGAGAUCCGGAGGAACACCAAAGGCGAAGGCAGUGUCCUGGGGAGUACCUGACGCUCAGGUGCGAAAGCCAGGGGAGCGAACGGG